rnacentral:rRNA from 1 species
UACGUAGGUGGCAAGCGUUAUCCGGAAUUAUUGGGCGUAAAGCGCGCGCAGGCGGUUUCUUAAGUCUGAUGUGAAAGCCCACGGCUCAACCGUGGAGGGUCAUUGGAAACUGGGGAACUUGAGUGCAGAAGAGAAAAGCGGAAUUCCACGUGUAGCGGUGAAAUGCGUAGAGAUGUGGAGGAACACCAGUGGCGAAGGCGGCUUUUUGGUCUGUAACUGACGCUGAGGCGCGAAAGCGUGGGGAGCAACAGG